UCAUAUUUUGAAGAGGAAAGUCCGGACAACAUAGAGCAUCGUACUUCCUAACUGGAAGGUCUCGAGAGAGAACAGAUAGUGCAACAGAAAAUAAACCGCCAUUUUAUGGUAAGGGUGAAAAGGUAAGGUAAGAGCUUACCGAUUAAAUAGUGAUAUUUAAUGCAUUGUAAACCUUACGAGUUGAAAGAUCAAGUAAUUCGAUAGUUUUAUACUAAUAGUUGCUCGCUAUAAUCGAAUGGGUAGAUCGAAUGAGCUUGGUAGCGAUACCCUGCCUAGAUAAAUGAUAAGAAUCUGAGUUUUCAGAUACAGAAUCCGGCUUAUAGACUUACUUUU
rnacentral:RNase_P_RNA from 1 species